GUCCCUGUAGCGCAAUGAAUAGCGUGUUGAACUUCUAAUCCAAAUGCCGUAGGUUCGAAUCCACCUGGGAUG
rnacentral:tRNA from 1 species